rnacentral:rRNA from 1 species
CGGAGAGUUUGAUCCUGGCUCAGGAUGAACGCUGGCGGCGUGCCUAAUACAUGCAAGUCGAACGCUUUGUGGUUCAACUGAUUUGAAGAGCUUGCUCAGAUAUGACGAUGGACAUUGCAAAGAGUGGCGAACGGGUGAGUAACACGUGGGAAACCUACCUCUUAGCAGGGGAUAACAUUUGGAAACAGAUGCUAAUACCGUAUAACAAUAGCAACCGCAUGGUUGCUACUUAAAAGAUGGUUCUGCUAUCACUAAGAGAUGGUCCCGCGGUGCAUUAGUUAGUUGGUGAGGUAAUGGCUCACCAAGACGAUGAUGCAUAGCCGAGUUGAGAGACUGAUCGGCCACAAUGGGACUGAGACACGGCCCAUACUCCUACGGGAGGCAGCAGUAGGGAAUCUUCCACAAUGGGCGAAAGCCUGAUGGAGCAACGCCGCGUGUGUGAUGAAGGGUUUCGGCUCGUAAAACACUGUUGUAAGAGAAGAAUGACAUUGAGAGUAACUGUUCAAUGUGUGACGGUAUCUUACCAGAAAGGAACGGCUAAAUACGUGCCAGCAGCCGCGGUAAUACGUAUGUUCCAAGCGUUAUCCGGAUUUAUUGGGCGUAAAGCGAGCGCAGACGGUUAUUUAAGUCUGAAGUGAAAGCCCUCAGCUCAACUGAGGAAUUGCUUUGGAAACUGGAUGACUUGAGUGCAGUAGAGGAAAGUGGAACUCCAUGUGUAGCGGUGAAAUGCGUAGAUAUAUGGAAGAACACCAGUGGCGAAGGCGGCUUUCUGGACUGUAACUGACGUUGAGGCUCGAAAGUGUGGGUAGCAAACAGGAUUAGAUACCCUGGUAGUCCACACCGUAAACGAUGAGUGCU